UAGCUAGUUGGUAGGGUAAAGGCCUACCAAGGCGACGAUCGGUAGCUGGUCUGAGAGGAUGGCCAGCCACACUGGAACUGAGACACGGUCCAGACUCCUACGGGAGGCAGCAGUGGGGAAUAUUGGACAAUGGGGGCAACCCUGAUCCAGCAAUGCCGCGUGUGCGAAGAAGGCCUGAGGGUUGUAAAGCACUUUCAGUGGGGAGGAGAGUUGAUUGGUUAAGAGCUGGUUAAUUGGACGUUACCCACAGAAGAAGCACCGGCUAACUCCGUGCCAGCAGCCGCGGUAAUACGGAGGGUGCGAGCGUUAAUCGGAAUUACUGGGCGUAAAGGGUGCGUAGGUGGUUUAUUAAGUUAUGUGUAAAAUCCCUGGGCUCAACCUGGGCAGGUCAUAUAAUACUGGUAGACUCGAGUAUGGGAGAGGGUAGUGGAAUUUCCGGUGUAGCGGUGAAAUGCGUAGAGAUCGGAAGGAACACCAGUGGCGAAGGCGGCUACCUGGCCUAAUACUGACACUGAGGCACGAAAGCGUGGGGAGCAAACAGGAUUAGAUACCCUGGUAGUCCACGCUGUAAACGAUGUCAACUAGCUGUUGGUUAUAUGAAUAUAAUUAGUGGCGC
rnacentral:rRNA from 1 species